AACGAACGCUGGCGGCGCGUCUUAAACAUGCAAGUCGAACGAUCUGUAGCAAUACAGGGAGUGGCGGACGGGUGAGGAACACGUAGGAAUCUACCUUGAAGAGCGGGACAACUUUGGGAAACCGGGCUAAUACCGCAUAGUACAGAGAUGUUAAAAGGGCUAGCAAUAGUCGCUUCGAGAUGAGCCUGCGGUCUAUCAGCUUGUUGGUGAGGUAAUGGCUCACCAAGGCUACGACGGAUAGCCGGUCUGAGAGGAUGAUCGGCCACACUGGCACUGAGACACGGGCCAGACUCCUAC
rnacentral:rRNA from 1 species